rnacentral:sRNA from 1 species
AGUGACCUCUCCAGGGCCCUGGAAGCCCAGUGACUCAGCAUGACUUAACAACCUGGCUUUCCAUGGGAGCCGAGAUAAUUUGCCACAUAUCCAGUGCAGGAUAAAAGCUGACGCUAUUUGGAAGAACAAUUCUAAGUUAAUAAUGAGAGGAAAAAAAGAAAGCCAGAUGUCUUUCCACUCUAGAGACAGGUUUUAGGACAGACAGAUACUGGGAGGUAGGGUCUGGGCCUUGCUGCUUUGGUCCAGGCCGGGGGUUACUACAGGACUCUUCUUUCUUGGUCAGAAGUGAUAAGGUUUAUUCCAAACUCUAAGAUGAUGUAACAUGUUGACCUUCUCUUUUUUGUAAGCUACAUGGACAGAUGGCCACUUGACAAGGUCGUACAAACACUGGGAAUUGGCUGACUCCGAAGUCGACGUUGGGGUUUUCAUUGCUGUGACUACCAAGGUACUUCAAAGCCACCAAGGGUGACCUUGUGUCCGAAUGCAAACUCAGAGGAGAAAAAUUUUGUCACUACAGCUUAAAACCAUGAGAACAAACCUAUCAAGGACAAGACUUGGGCCAGACUGCAGGAGAGGAGGCCUCCAGCCUGAUGUCCGGAGUUGGUAUCUGGUGGGAUUAAGAGAUACCGGGGCAUCCUGAUGACACUAGGAGGGGCACGUGGAAGUCCAGACCCCAAGUGGGAGAGAUCAAGAUGUGAGCUCUCACCUAUUGCCCCAGCACCAUGCCUGCCUGCCUGCUGCCAUGUUCCCUACCAUGAUGGUCAUGGACUCACCAUUUGAAACUUUAAUUCCUAAUAAAGACCUUUUCUUUUAUAA